AGCGUAGACGGUGUGGCAAGUCUGAUGUGAAAGGCAUGGGCUCAACCUGUGGACUGCAUUGGAAACUGUCAUACUUGAGUGCCGGAGGGGUAAGCGGAAUUCCUAGUGUAGCGGUGAAAUGCGUAGAUAUUAGGAGGAACACCAGUGGCGAAGGCGGCUUACUGGACGGUAGCUGACGUUGAGGCUCGAAAGCGUGGGAGCAAACA
rnacentral:rRNA from 1 species